rnacentral:rRNA from 1 species
AUGAACGCUAGCGGCAGGCUUAACACAUGCAAGUCGAGGGGCAGCGCGGGAUAGCAAUAUCCUGGCGGCGACCGGCGGAAGGGUGCGUAACGCGUGAGCGACAUGCCCGUUGCCCGGGGACAACCGGUGGAAACGCCGACUAAUCCCCGAUGGGAUAUUGUGCCGCAUGGCACGAUAUUGAAAGUUACGGCGGCGACGGAUUGGCUCGCGUCCGAUUAGCUUGUUGGCGGGGUAACGGCCCACCAAGGCUGCGAUCGGUAGGGGUUCUGAGAGGAAGGCCCCCCACAAUGGGACUGAGACACGGCCCAUACUCCUACGGGAGGCAGCAGUGAGGAAUAUUGGUCAAUGGGCGGAAGCCUGAACCAGCCAUGCCGCGUGCGGGAAGGAGGCCCUAUGGGCUGUGAACCGCUUUUGCCUGGGGGCAAUAAGGGCGUCGCGCACGUCCGAUGAGAGUACCAGGCGAAUAAGCAUCGGCUAACUCCGUG